rnacentral:rRNA from 1 species
GACGAACCGAGCGAACGUUGUUCGGAAUCACUGGGCUUAAAGGGCGCGUGGGCGGGUGAUCACGGCCGGGGUGAAAUCCUCCAGCUCAACUGGAGAACUGCCUCGGAUUCUGGUUGCCUCGAGGAAGGUAGGGGUGUGUGGAACGUUCAGUGGAGCGGUGAAAUGCAUUGAUAUUGAACGGAACUCCGGUGGCGAAGGCGACACACUGGACCUUUUCUGACGCUGAGGAGCGAAAGCUAGGGGAGCAAACGGG